GUUGCUCUCCCACUGGAUAAGUUUCAGCUUGCCCUAGCUCGGAUAUUACAGGGUUCCGCCCAUACUGGUCCAGCACUGACCCCAGCAGAAGUGCUGGUCGCUAUACAUGAUAUAAAUCCCGACAGGGAUGGCCUUCCGCUAAAAAAGAUAACAGAUGCUUGCUCAGCUUGUUUCGAACAGCGGACUGUUUUCACGCAACAGGUCCUGGCAAAAGCCUUGAGACAGAUGGUUGAUCAGACUCCUCUCCCGCUGCUCUUCAUGAGAACAGUGAUUCAGGCCAUUGACGCGUUUCCUACUCUGGUUGAUUUUGUGAUGGAGA
rnacentral:misc_RNA from 1 species